UGAGGAAUUUUCCACAAUGGGCGAAAGCCUGAUGGAGCGACGCCGCGUGAGGGACGAAGGGGCUUUGCCUUGUAAACCUCUGUCGGAAGGGAAGAAUGAGACCCUCAGGGUCUUUGGACAGUACCUUCAAAGGAAGGAUCGGCUAACUACGUGCCAGCAGCCGCGGUAAUACGUAGGAUCCAAGCGUUGUCCGGAAUUACUGGGCAUAAAGGGAGCGUAGGCGGAUUUGUGCGUCAGAGGUGAAAUCCAACGGCUUAACUGUUGAACUGCCUUUGAUACGGCAAAUCUUGAGUAUGAGAGAGGCGAGUAGAAUUCCAGGUGUAGCGGUGAAAUGCGUAGAUAUCUGGAGGAAUACCAGUGGUGAAGACGGCUCGCUGGCUCAUAACUGACGCUGAGGCUCGAAAGCGUGGGGAUCAAACAGG
rnacentral:rRNA from 1 species